rnacentral:rRNA from 1 species
UACGUAGGCAGCGAGCGUUGUUCGGAGUUACUGGGCGUAAAGGGUGUGUAGGCGGUUUUCUAAGUUUGGUGUGAAAUCUCCCGGCUCAACCGGGAGGGUGCGCCGAAAACUGGGAGACUAGAGUGCGGGAUGGGAGAGUAAAAUUCCUGGUGUAGCGGUGAAAUGCGUAGAUAUCAGGAGGAAUACCGGUGGUGUAGACGGCUCUCUGGACCGCCACUGACGCUGAGACACGAAAGCGUGGGUAGCAAACAGG